UACGAAGGGGGCUAGCGUUGUUCGGAUUUACUGGGCGUAAAGCGCACGUAGGCGGAUCGAUCAGUCAGGGGUGAAAUCCCAGAGCUCAACUCUGGAACUGCCUUUGAUACUGUCGAUCUGGAGUAUGGAAGAGGUGAGUGGAAUUCCGAGUGUAGAGGUGAAAUUCGUAGAUAUUCGGAGGAACACCAGUGGCGAAGGCGGCUCACUGGUCCAUUACUGACGCUGAGGUGCGAAAGCGUUGGGGAGCAAACAGG
rnacentral:rRNA from 1 species